rnacentral:rRNA from 1 species
GGCUAGUAUGAACGGAACCACGAAAUUCUCCCUGCCUCAUUUUAACUCCAAAAACCUAAACUUCAGGUGAAGAUGCCUGACUAGCCCUGUAAGACAAGAAGACCCUAUAGAGUUUUAGUAACAACUCAUCAUUUAUGAGGAAACUUUGGUUGGGGCGACCUAGGAUCAAUCAAACCAUCCUCAAAAAUAAAGAAUAUAGUUCAACCCUUAGACCCAUAAUAAUGAUUCGGAAACUAAACUACCUUAGGGAUAACAGGCUUAUCUUCCUAACGAGUUCAAAUUACCAGGAAGGUUUGGCACCUCGAUGUUGGCUUAGAGUAACUUAUUGAUGCAGAAAU